rnacentral:rRNA from 1 species
UACGAAGGGGGCUAGCGUUGUUCGGAAUCACUGGGCGUAAAGGGCGCGUAGGCGGCUUUAUAAGUCGGGGGUGAAAGCCUGUGGCUCAACCACAGAAUUGCCUUCGAUACUGUAGAGCUUGAGACCGGAAGAGGUAAGUGGAACUGCGAGUGUAGAGGUGAAAUUCGUAGAUAUUCGCAAGAACACCAGUGGCGAAGGCGGCUUACUGGUCCGGUUCUGACGCUGAGGCGCGAAAGCGUGGGGAGCGAUCAGG